rnacentral:lncRNA from 1 species
UUAAUUACUAACUAUCAACUCGCGCUCACGAAGUUGUUUGUUUCGUGCAUGCAGAGUCGUGAAGCAGUCGCCGCCACACGCGAAAGCACUCUUCACUGCCACUAUUGGAGCAUCGCUCGUUCUGUUUCUCUGCCUUGGAGGGAUAGUGUUCUACCUGAAGAUGGAUGACAAUGGUGAUGCUGCACCCGGCCCUUCUACGAGGUUCACUGCGUUGCCCCCCAAGCGAGAAACACCGAGCAUGCCCACCAUUCACCACAGCUCUCAGCCUAGCACUCCCUCUGGAGAGACAGGUACCUCGCCGAUCACACCAACCGGAGGCAAUCAAUCGAGUCUUCGCGAAGUUCUGCAAGCCGAAGACAACGGCGAGGAGUCAAUCGC